UACGUAGGGUGCGAGCGUUGUCUGGAAUUACUGGGCGUAAAGAGCUCGUAGGUGGUUUGUCGCGUUGUUCGUGAAAACCGGGGGCUUAACCCUCGGCGUGCGGGCGAUACGGGCAGACUGGAGUACUGCAGGGGAGACUGGAAUUCCUGGUGUAGCGGUGGAAUGCGCAGAUAUCAGGAGGAACACCGGUGGCGAAGGCGGGUCUCUGGGCAGUAACUGACGCUGAGGAGCGAAAGCGUGGGGAGCGAACAGG
rnacentral:rRNA from 1 species